UACGAAGGGUGCAAGCGUUACUCGGAAUUACUGGGCGUAAAGCGUGCGCAGGCGGUCCGCAAAGUCUGAUGUGAAAGCCCCGGGCUCAACCUGGGAACUGCAUUGGAAACUAACGGGCUCGAGUGUGGCAGAGGGGGGUGGAAUUCCACGUGUAGCAGUGAAAUGCGUAGAGAUGUGGAGGAACACCGAUGGCGAAGGCAGCCCCCUGGGCUAACACUGACGCUCAGGCACGAAAGCGUGGGGAGCAAACAGG
rnacentral:rRNA from 1 species